rnacentral:rRNA from 1 species
AGUCGAACGAUGAAGCCGGAGCUUGCUCUGGUGGAUUAGUGGCGAACGGGUGAGUAACACGUGAGUAACCUGCCCUUGACUCUGGAAUAAGCGUUGGAAACGACGUCUAAUACCGGAUACGAGCUUCAGCCGCAUGGCUAGGAGCUGGAAAGAAUUUCGGUCAAGGAUGGACUCGCGGCCUAUCAGGUAGUUGGUGAGGUAAUGGCUCACCAAGCCUACGACGGGUAGCCGGCCUGAGAGGGUGACCGGCCACACUGGAACUGAGACACGGUCCAGACUCCUACGGGAGGCAGCAGUGGGGAAUAUUGCACAAUGGGCGCAAGCCUGAUGCAGCAACGCCGCGUGAGGGACGACGGCCUUCGGGUUGUAAACCUCUUUUAGUAGGGAAGAAGCGAAAGUGACGGUACCUGCAGAAAAAGCACCGGCUAACUACGUGCCAGCAGCCGCGGUAAUACGUAGGGUGCAAGCGUUAUCCGGAAUUAUUGGGCGUAAAGAGCUCGUAGGCGGUUUGUCGCGUCUGCUGUGAAAACUGGAGGCUCAACCUCCAGCUUGCAGUGGGUACGGGCAGACUAGAGUGCGGUAGGGGAGAUUGGAAUUCCUGGUGUAGCGGUGGAAUGCGCAGAUAUCAGGAGGAACACCAAUGGCGAAGGCAGAUCUCUGGGCCGUAACUGACGCUGAGGAGCGAAAGCAUGGGGAGCGAACAGGAUUAGAUACCCUGGUAGUCCAUGCCGUAAACGUUGGGAACUAGAUGUAGGGACCAUUCCACGGUUUCUGUGUCGCAGCUAACGCAUUAAGUUCCCCGCCUGGGGAGUACGGCCGCAAGGCUAAAACUCAAAGGAAUUGACGGGGGCCCGCACAAGCGGCGGAGCAUGCGGAUUAAUUCGAUGCAACGCGAAGAACCUUACCAAGACUUGACAUAUACGAGAACGGGCUAGAAAUAGUCAACUCUUUGGACACUCGUAAACAGGUGGUGCAUGGUUGUCGUCAGCUCGUGUCGUGAGAUGUUGGGUUAAGUCCCGCAACGAGCGCAACCCUCGUUCUUUGUUGCCAGCACGUAAUGGUGGGAACUCAAAGGAGACUGCCGGGGUCAACUCGGAGGAAGGUGGGGAUGACGUCAAAUCAUCAUGCCCCUUAUGUCU